GACGAACGCUGGCGGCGUGCUUAACACAUGCAAGUCGAACGGAAAGGCACUGCUUUUGUGGGGUGCUCGAAUGGCGAAAGGGUGAGUAACAAGGGAGAAACCUGCCCUUGACUUUGGGAUAACUUCGGGAAACUGGGGCUAAUACCGGAUAGGAGCUCCUGCUGCAUGGUGGGGGUUGGAAAGUUUCGGCGGUUGGGGAUGGACUCGCGGCUUAUCAGCUUGUUGGUGGGGUAGUGGCUUACCAAGGCUUUGACGGGUAGCCGGCCUGAGAGGGUGACCGGCCACAUUGGGACUGAGAUACGGCCCAGACUCCUACGGGAGGCAGCAGUGGGGAAUAUUGCACAGUGGGCGGAAGCCUGAUGCAGCAACGCCGCGUGCGGAAUGACGGCCUUCGGGUUGUAAACCGCUUUCGCCUGUGACGAAGCGUGAGUGACGGUAAUGGGUAAAGAAGCACCGGCUAACUACGUG
rnacentral:rRNA from 1 species